AGUGAACGCUGGCGGUAGGCCUAACACAUGCAAGUCGAACGGCAGCACAGGAGAGCUUGCUCUCUGGGUGGCGAGUGGCGGACGGGUGAGGAAUACAUCGGAAUCUACUCUGUCGUGGGGGAUAACGUAGGGAAACUUCGCUAAUACCGCAUACGACCUACGGGUGAAAGCAGGGGAUCUUCGGACCUUGCGCGAUUGAAUGAGCCGAUGUCGGAUUAGCUAGUUGGCGGGGUAAAGGCCCACCAAGGCGACGAUCCGUAGCUGGUCUGGGAGGGUGAUCAGCCACACGGGAACUGGGACACGGUCCAGACUCCUACGGGAGGCAGCAGUGGGGAAAUUGGACAAUGGGCGCAAGCCUGAUCCAGCCAUACCGCGUGGGUGAAGAAGGCCUUCGGGUUGUAAAGCCCUUUUGUUGGGAAAGAAAUCCAGCUGGCUAAUACCCGGUUGGGAUGACGGUACCCAAAGAAUAAGCACCGGCUAACUUCGUGCCAGCAGCCGCCGCGG
rnacentral:rRNA from 1 species